UAAUACGUAGGUGGCAAGCGUUGUCCGGAUUUAUUGGGCGUAAAGCAUGCGUAGGCGGAUACUUAAGUGGGAUGUGAAAACCCGGGGCUCAACUCCGGACCUGCAUUCCAAACUGGGUGUCUAGAGUACAGGAGAGGAAAGGGGAAUUCCUAGUGUAGCGGUGAAAUGCGUAGAGAUUAGGAAGAACACCAGUGGCGAAGGCGCCUUUCUGGACUGUAACUGACGCUGAGGCAUGAAAGCGUGGGUAGCAAACAGGAUUAGAUACCCUGGUAGUCCACGCCGUAAACGAUGAGUACUAGGUGUCGGGGUUUCAAUACUUCGGUGCCGCAGUUAACACAUUAAGUACUCCGCCUGGGGAGUACGAUCGCAAGAUUAAAACUCAAAGGAAUUGACGGGGGCCCGCACAAGUAGCGGAGCAUGUGGUUUAAUUCGACGCAACGCGAAGAACCUUACCUGGGCUUGACAUCCUAAGAAGUCGGUGGAAACACUGAUGUGCCCUUCGGGGAACUUAGAGACAGGUGGUGCAUGGUUGUCGUCAGCUCGUGUCGUGAGAUGUUGGGUUAAGUCCCGCAACGAGCGCAACCCUUGUUGUUAGUUGCUACCAUUAAGUUGAGCACUCUAGCAAGACUGCCUGGGUAACCAGGAGGAAGGUGGGGAUGACGUCAAAUCAUCAUGCCCCCUAUGUCCAGGGCUACACACGUGCUACAAUGGUUGGUACAGAGAGACGCAAGACCGUGAGGUGGAGCAAAUCCCAUAAAACCAAUCUCAGUUCGGAUUGUAGGCUGAAACUCGCCUACAUGAAGCUGGAGUUACUAGUAAUCGCGAAUCAGAAUGUCGCGGUGAAUGCGUUCCCGGGCCUUGUACACACCGCCCGUCACACCAUGAGAGUCGAUAACACCCGAAGUCCGUGAGGUAACCGUAAGGGGCCAGCGGCCGAAGGUGGGAUUGAUGAUUGGGGUGAAAUCGUAACAAGGUAGAGCUCUCAGUCAGUCAAAUCACUAGUGAAUUCG
rnacentral:rRNA from 1 species